CAACAACAUUUUCCUCAUCAAGCAAUACUUCACUAAAUGAACUAACAGUCUUCUUUGAAGACUUGGUCUUCUUUUUCUUGUCCGUGAAAAUAAUAGGUUCAUCUUCUUCAUCCUUGUCUUUCUUCUCAUCAUCAUCCUCAUCCUCAUUUUCAAGCAGAUCCAAUGCAGAACUCCUCAUCCUGCCACCCUUAUUCGACUUCUUUUUCUUGUCCGUGAAAGUAAUAGGUUCAUCAUCUUCAUCUUUGUCUUCCUUCACAUCAUCAUUUUCAUUGACAAGCAGAUCGAAAGCAGAACUGUUCUUGCCACUCUUCUUUGAUUUCUUUUUCUUGUCUGUGAAAAUAACAGGUUCAUCUUCUUCAUCUUUGUCUUCCCUCACAUCCUCAUCUUCAUCAUCAAGAAGAUCAAAAGCAGAGGCCGAAAAUCCAGUAGUACCGCUCUUCUUCUUGCCACCUUUCUUUGACUUCUCCACCACAUCAUCAUCAUCAUCAUCACUCUCCUCCACAGAAUGAUCAUCAUCAAUCACCUCACUUUCACUACCACCAUCAACUGCAUCAAAAGCCGCUGCCGUAAACAGACUACCACUCUUAUUCCCACCUUUCUUCAAACCCUCCUUCGUUUUACCCUUACUCGCCAGAGAAAC
rnacentral:lncRNA from 1 species